rnacentral:pre_miRNA from 1 species
GCAGAGUUGUAGUGUUGAGAAGAUUGAGGAAGGAAUUUAAGGCAAAGCAAGUCCAGUCCUAUUAUCUUCGAGCUCGAAGGAGAAGCUUUUCCACUCGAUCUGCCAAAUCUUUUCCACGAUCUUCUCAACACUACAAUUCCGC